CAUUUUGUCUGAGAUCGUCUACAGGAUCGUCCAUGUCGAUCCUGAACAGCGAGUUUGGGACUCUUUUGGGUCCUUUCUUGAGGUAGGCCGAUUUACUUUUUUCUUCCUUUUGCUUCUUCACUUAGUUCAUUCCUUAGCUUUCAUAUUGACUUUCUGACCGCUCUUACAGAUUGGAUACCAACUCAUCACCAACAUCGAGGUGAUGAAAAAUAUAAAGAAGGAAGCAACCCAGGC
rnacentral:lncRNA from 1 species